UACGUAGGGUGCAGGCGUUAAUCGGAAUCACUGGGCUUAAAGCGUGUGUAGGCGGAUCGUUAAGUACCUUGUGAAAUCCCACGGCUCAACCGUGGAACUGCUGGGUAUACUGGCGGUCUUGAGCCACCUAGGGGCGAGCGGAACAAGCGGUGGAGCGGUGAAAUGCGUAGAUAUCGCUUGGAACGCCGACGGUGAAAACAGCUCGCUGGGGGUGUGCUGACGCUGAGACACGAAAGCCAGGGGAGCGAACGGG
rnacentral:rRNA from 1 species